GAUGAACGCUGGCGGCGUGCUUAACACAUGCAAGUCGAACGGUGAACGAGGGAGCUUGCUCCCUCCGGAUCAGUGGCGAACGGGUGAGUAACACGUGAGCAAUCUGCCCCGAACUCUGGGAUAAGCGCUGGAAACGGCGUCUAAUACCGGAUACGACGCGCGAAGGCAUCUUCUGCGCGUGGAAAGAAUUUCGGUUCGGGAUGAGCUCGCGGCCUAUCAGCUAGUUGGUGAGGUAACGGCUCACCAAGGCGACGACGGGUAGCCGGCCUGAGAGGGUGACCGGCCACACUGGGACUGAGACACGGCCCAGACUCCUACGGGAGGCAGCAGUGGGGAAUAUUGCACAAUGGGCGCAAGCCUGAUGCAGCAACGCCGCGUGAGGGACGACGGCCUUCGGGUUGUAGACCUCUUUUAGUAGGGAAGAAGCGAAAGUGACGGUACCUGCAGAAAAAGCACCGGCUAACUACGUGCCAGCCGCCGCUGUAAAAC
rnacentral:rRNA from 1 species